CAGGUCCGGGAUGUGGUGCGCUGUUGUCAUAUCUCCCCUCCAAUAUUGCACUCGUCCCGGCCUCC
ensembl:miRNA